AUUGAACGCUGGCGGCAUGCCUUACACAUGCAAGUCGAACGGUAACAGGUCUUCGGAUGCUGACGAGUGGCGAACGGGUGAGUAAUACAUCGGAACGUGCCCGAGAGUGGGGGAUAACGAGGCGAAAGCUUUGCUAAUACCGCAUACGAUCUCAGGAUGAAAGCAGGGGACCGCAAGGCCUUGCGCUCAUGGAGCGGCCGAUGGCAGAUUAGGUAGUUGGUGGGAUAAAAGCUUACCAAGCCGACGAUCUGUAGCUGGUCUGAGAGGACGACCAGCCACACUGGGACUGAGACACGGCCCAGACUCCUACGGGAGGCAGCAGUGGGGAAUUUUGGACAGUGGGCGCAAGCCUGAUCCAGCCAUGCCGCGUGCAGGAUGAAGGCCUUCGGGUUGUAAACUGCUUUUGUACGGAACGAAAAGACUCUGGUUAAUACCUGGGGUCCAUGACGGUACCGUAAGAAUAAGCACCGGCUAACUACGUGCCAGCAGCCGCGGUAAUAC
rnacentral:rRNA from 1 species